AGAGUUUGAUCCUGGCUCAGCCUGAACGCUGUCGGCGUGACUAAGACAUGCAAGUCGUACGGUGUAGCAAUACACAGUGGCGCACGGGUGAGUAAUGUAUCGCUAAUGUACCCCGAACUCUGGGAUAGCCAGCCGAAAGGCUGGGUAAUACCAGAUGAGACCACGACCUGGCAUCAGGUUGUGCUCAAAGGUUCGCCGGUUUGGGAUCAGGCGAUAUGGUAUCAGGUAGUUGGUGAGGUAACGGCUCACCAAGCCUUCGACGCCUAGCCGGACUGAGAGGUCGGACGGCCACAUCGGGACUGAGACACUGCCCGGACUCCUACGGGGGGCUGCAGUAAUGAAUCUUCCGCAAUGCACGAAAGUGUGACGGAGCGACGCCGAGUGAAGGAUGAAGUUCUUCGGAAUGUAAACUUCUAAAAUCUGUUAGAAAGUUCUGAUCAGCAGACUAUAAGUGGCGACUAACUCUGUGCCAGCAGUCGCGGUAAUACAGAGGCCACGAGCGUUAGGCGGAAUCACUGGGCUUAAAGCGUGUGUAGGUGGAUCGGUAAGUACCUUGUAAAAUCCCACGGCUCAACCGUGGAACUGCUCGGUAUACUGCCAGUCUUGAGGCACUCAGGGGCGAGCGGAACAAGUGGUGGAGCGGUGAAAUGCGUAGAUAUCACUUGGAACGCCAAUGGUGAAGACAGCUCGCUGGGGGUGAACUGACACUGAGACACGAAAGCCAGGGGAGCGAACGGGAUUAGAUACCCCGGUAGUCCUGGCCCUAAACAAUGUCCACUAGAGUGUGGCUCCACUGACGGAGUCAUGCUCGAAACGAAAGCGUUAAGUGGACCGCCUGGGAAGUACGGUCGCAAGGCUAAAACUCAAAGGAAUUGACGGGGGCUCACACAAGCGGUGGAGCAUGUGGUUUAAUUCGAAGCAACGCGCAGAACCUUACCUGGGUUUGAAAUGGCUGGAUUAUCUUUGUGAAAGCAGAGUACGCCCUUCGGGGUGGAACAGUCACAGGUGCUGCAUGGCUGUCGUCAGCUCGUGUCGUGAGAUGUCGGGUUAAGUCCCUUAACGAGCGAAACCUUUGUCCUUAGUUGCCAGCGGGUAAUGCCGGGGACUCUAGGGAUACUGCCGGUGUCAAACCGGAGGAAGGUGGAGAUGACGUCAAGUCCGCAUGGCCUUUAUGCCCAGGGCCACACACGUGCUACAAUGGUGAUGACAGAGAGUUGCGAGCCAGUGAUGGUCAGCUAAUCUCAAAACAUCAUCUCAGUUCGGAUUGGAGUCUGCAACUCGACUCCAUGAAGUCGGAAUCGCUAGUAAUCGCAGAUCAGCAAUGCUGCGGUGAAUACGUUCCCGGGCCUUGUACACACCGCCCGU
rnacentral:rRNA from 1 species